rnacentral:lncRNA from 1 species
GCCUGGCACUGCAUCGGGAAAGUGUGGGAAAGAGGGGGUCCUGCUUUGCCAAGGCAGGGAGGCCAUGCAGUACAAACCCAGCUGUGCUGUAGAUUACACCAUGCAGUUGACAUUCCACUGCUCAGAUUAACGACUACAUCAUCAAUAGUCUAUCAAGUCUUCUGAGAACAGGAAGCAGACCUCCCCGGAGCGCACAGUGGGAACAAGAGCUCCACCUCCCUCAACUAUCCCUGUUUCCUUCCCUGGGGUUGCGUCAAUUGGAAGUAUUUUAAGAGUAGUGUGUGAGAGAAAGAGGUAUACUAAUGUACAAGGUAAUUUGUAGGAGCAUGGCAGCAUAUUGUUUACACACUCUGAGAGAAAACAGGUCCUCAAGCUAGAGCAGUCAUGUUUUCCUAGUCCAGCAAUUGUCCUGUUACCCUGGGAAACCAAGUAAAAUUGUUUCCCAAACGAAGGACGUCAGUGGACUCAGAUAGAU